CAGCUGUGAUUUGUGACCAUUUGCAUUUUUGCUGACAGGUACUAAGGGCAAUGAUAUGCAUGAGGUUAUCUAUGAAAGGAGAGAGCACUCCUCUUUAAUUGGAUGGUGGAAAUGGAAUUCAUCUUAAAAUGAGAGUUUUUCAGAGGAAAGAAAAAGUAAUCAAACCAAUGGCAAAGAAGACAAUGAGAAUGAAAAGAGAAGUUGUUUGAGUCCAAUAGCUGUGGACAGAAGUUCAACAAGAGGCCAACAUUUUGCUCUGCCUCAGUGGAAAAACCCAGGUCCACUCAACAUUGAUUGCAUUACAAGUGACUUUCUACAAGGUAAGUUGAGUCUGCUAUGCAGUUUCCUGUAUUGUGUUCUGUGAGAUGGGGCUUGUUAUUUAAGUGCUUAAUACUGCAUCCAGAUUAUGCAGAAGCUAAAUUUAGCAAUGCCAAUUUGAA